rnacentral:rRNA from 1 species
UACAGAGGUCUCGAGCGUUGUUCGGAUUCAUUGGGCGUAAAGGGCGCGUAGGCGGCGGGGUAAGUCUGGUGUGAAAUCUCGGAGCUCAACUCCGAAAUUGCACUGGAUACUGCUCUGCUAGAGGGCUGGAGAGGAGAUCGGAAUUCACGGUGUAGCAGUGAAAUGCGUAGAUAUCGUGAGGAAGACCAGUGGCGAAGGCGGAUCUCUGGACAGCUCCUGACGCUGAGGCGCGAAGGCGUGGGGAGCGAACGGG